rnacentral:rRNA from 1 species
UACGUAGGGGGCGAGCGUUGUCCGGAGUUACUGGGCGUAAAGCGCACGCAGGCGGUCUGUUAAGUUUGGAGUGACAGUUGGUGGCUUAACUGCCAAAGUGCUUCGAAAACUGACAGACUUGAGGGCUUCAGAGGGACACGGAAUUCCGGGUGGAGUGGUGAAAUGCGUAGAGAUCCGGAGGAACACCAAAGGCGAAGGCAGUGUCCUGGGGAGUGCCUGACGCUCAGGUGCGAAAGCCAGGGGAGCGAACGGG